rnacentral:rRNA from 1 species
AUGCAUGUCUAAGUACAAGCCGAUUUAAGGCGAAACCGCGAAUGGCUCAUUAAAUCAGCUAUGAUUCAUUGGAUCUGUACCCACACUUACUUGGAUAACUGUGGUAAUUCUAGAGCUAAUACAUGCCACGAGUCUCUGACCGCAAGGGAAGAGCGCUUUUAUUAGUUCAAAACCGGUCGGGCCUUCGGGCCCGUCACCCUGGUGUGUUGAAUCUGAAUAACUUUGUGCUGAGCGCACGGUCUCCGCACCGGCGCCGCCUCUUUCAAGUGUCUGCCUUAUCAGCUUUCGAUUGUAGGCUAUACGCCUACAAUGGCUAUAACGGGUAACGGGGAAUCAGGGUUCGAUUCCGGAGAGGGAGCCUGAGAAACGGCUACCACA